GACGUAGGGGGCCAGCGUUGCUCGGAAUUACUGGGUGUAAAGAGCUCGUAGGCGGUUUGUCGCGUCGGCUGUGAAAACCUGGGGCUCAACCCCGGGCCUGCAGCCGAUACGGGCAAACUAGAAUUCGGUAGGGGAGACUGGAAUUCCAGGUGUAGCGGUGAAAUGCGUAGAUAUCUGGAGGAACACCGGUGGCGAAGGCGGCAUCCUGGACCAACACUGACACUGAGGAGCGAAAGCCAGGGGAGCAAACGGG
rnacentral:rRNA from 1 species